CUUUGCCAAGGGCCCCAGCACUCGUGGCUCUUUGCAUUUGCCCAAAGGAGCUAAAAGCUCUUGCCCCUCAAAAGCCAACACAGGGACGUUGAUAAGCCCUUCACUCAGAAUCACCAGGAACACACAAGAUGUCCCUCAGGACGGGAGUGAGCACAUCUGCUGUGCUGCACCAGGCCAUGGAGUGCUACUUGGCACCCAGAAGAAACGGCUGGGGAGCCAUGGAGAGGCCUGGGGGAGUCUCAGAUGCGCACUUGCACCCAGAAGAAGCCGGUCUGCACAGGCUGCACACCGUGUGACUCAUCUGGGUGACCUUCUGGAGAAGGAAAGCCAUGGAGACAGGAGACCAGCGGUUGCCAGAGCAUGGGAGGAGCAAGGGAUGGACAGGAGGCAAUGAAAUAACACCCACUCCCUGGUUGGUGUAAGGACAGAGUGACAUGAUUCCAGCAAAGCUGUGCCUGACCCUUGGAGGAAGAACUUGGAGUUUCCACCCUUGAUCCUUCAGACCCACCACACCCAGCUCCUUCUCCUUCCUUCGAGUGCCCCCUCAUCCACCCCGCCUCUCCCUUGCGGUCAGCUCCAGGUGAUGACUUCUUGCCCGCAUGACGUGGAUAUGGACUAUUUCCAACUGGACUCCACGAGGGGAAGGAGGAGGCCUCCUUGCUUACUUCUUUGUCCUCAGACCCAGGAGUCUGGCACGUGUCAGAUGCAGAGUAACUGGGACCCGACCCCAUGAAUAAAUCUAUAAAUGAGCCCUC